rnacentral:lncRNA from 1 species
AACAAUCUUUUUCUUAAAACGCGUGUCACUCCCUUCUAGGAAGUUUUUUCGUGGACGGAGGGAAUAUAUUUUUCACGAUAAUUAUUAUUUUUACACACGAGAACUUAUAUUUUUAAUUAUUUGAUCAAUAAUAUGAAGAAAUGUAGUUUUUUUUUAAAAAAAAAAAAGCAGAAACAUAUGGGAAAAUAGAAAAAUAAAUGCUGGAAAAAAAACAAAAACAAAAAACAAAAAAAUAUAAAAAAAAAUAAAGAAACUGCAGAAAAAGUAACUAUUGAUAUGAAGAAAAGUAAUGUUUGAAAAAAUGCAGAAUUAAAUGAAAAAAUAAAAAGAAAAUAUGUUGAAAAGAAAGAAGAAAAACAAAAAAAUAAAAAAAAUAACGAAAAUGCAAUUACUGGGUUUUGAACUAGAGUGAAUGUAAGAUGAAAGUGAUACUUAACCAUUGAACCCACAACCUUCUUUUUGUAUUUAUCUAAGAAAAUACAGUUAUUUAAGUAAAAAGUUCGCGAUUCACGACCCGCGCCCAGAACCACCCCAACCCCUCUCACUC